rnacentral:precursor_RNA from 13 species
CGGGAUCCCGGCUGACCUCCGGCACGUGUGAACAGGUUACACGUGAUGCAGUGUGGUAGUGGAAUAUGCUGCAUCACGUUUGAUCUCCCUACACUGCACUGAGUCUCUCCAUCUGGAGAUU